rnacentral:rRNA from 1 species
UACGGGGGGGCAAGCGUUGUUCGGAAUUACUGGGCGUAAAGGGCUCGUAGGCGGCCAACUAAGUCGGAUGUGAAAUCCCCAGGCUCAACCGUGGGAACUGCAUCCGAUACUGGAUGGCUUGAAUUCGGGAGAGGGAUGCAGAAUUCCAGGUGUAGCGGUGAAAUGCGUAGAUAUCUGGAGGAACACCGGUGGCGAAGGCGGCAUCCUGGACCAAUAUUGACGCUGAGGAGCGAAAGCCAGGGGAGCAAACGGG